AGGACGGCAGGCAGCAGGUCAGGCCGGGGUCGAUAAUCCAGAGUAGAGGUCAAGGUACAGGACGGCAGGCAGACAGCAGGUCAGGCCGGGGUCGAUAAUCCAGAGUAGAGGUCAAGGUACAGGACGGCAGGCAGCAGGUCAGGCCGGGGUCGAUAAUCCAGAGUAGAGGCCAAGGUACAGGACGGCAGGCAGACAGCAGGUCAGGCCGGGGUCGAUAAUCCAGAGUAGAGGUCAAGGUACAGGACGGCAGGCAGCAGGUCAGGCCGGGGUCGAUAAUCCAGAGUAGAGGUCAAGGUACAGGACGGCAGGCAGCAGGUCAGGCCGGGGUCGAUAAUCCAGAGUAGAGGCCAAG
rnacentral:lncRNA from 1 species